AGCAGUGGAAUCUGUGAAGCAAAAUGUGAUGCUGUCCUCGCUCCUUGGUCCUCACACAACUCCCCCGGUGGGCCCUCUGUGCAAGGCCUGGUGUCAAAGAAAUUCAGAAUUGCUGAUGAUCUUUUUGAGCACAAUCCAGCACCACUGAAACUGAUGGAAUGGGACGUGAAACUGACGAUGGGACAUGAAACUGAUGGAAUGGGACGUGAAACUGACAGAAUGGGACGUGAAACUGAUGGAAUGGGACUUGAAACUGACAGAAUGGGACAUGAAACUGACGAUGGGACAUGAAACUGACGGAAUGGGACAUGAAACUGACAGAAUGGGACGUGAAACUGAUGGAAUGGGACGUGAAACUGACGAUGGGACGUGAAACUGAUGGAAUGGGACUUGAAACUGACGAUGGGACAUGAAACUGAUGGAAUGGGACUUGAAACUGACAGAAUGGGACGUGGUUGCAACCAUCAUAAAUCCCAAAGGAAUUUAGUCACAAUUAAGUGAGUUUGAGUCAUGGUUGUUGGUUAUUUUUUUCUUUGGGUGUUGCUUCUGUUAACCCCUUUGCCAUAUCCCCCCCACUCUCCUUUUUUGUUUGUUGGAACAGGAAAUUGAACGUUAAUUUUCAACCAUAGAGACGGAAAUAAAUAAAAUGUAAACCCACUUCCUGCUACCAUUUGAAAGCCACCGUUUUGGUGGUGGCAACAGGAUGCAGACAGGGGGAGUCACUCUAGCCCCCGCAUCUCUAUGAGCCAACACUCACCAUUGGUCGCCACCCAAAAUGGACAUGUGUCCGUUGGAAGCCAAAAGAGCCAAUCACAUUGCGCUGGGGCAGUUGAGCCCCUCUGCAUUGCCACGUGAGGGCGCCAUUUUAAGAGUGAAGAACCACAGACCAAGUCCGGGCAACGGUCACCUAUGAUGGUGAAGAUUCCGCAUCAAAACUAACCCUUUGAAGUAGCCUUCCCCGCCAUGGCACUCUCCAGGGGUGUUGAACUACAAUUCCCAUCAAUACCCCGACACCAGCAUGGCCUAUGCGUAGUUCAACACAUUUGGAGGGUGUUGGCUUUGAGGCCACCCUGUAUUAUAUUAUUCCAUCAGCUGACUGCUGCAUCUCUUUGCCCAGGGAUUAGCUGCAACCAGUCAGGAAAAAGGAAAAGAGCACCCAGCUUUACGGACUUCUUCAAGAAGGUAGAACUGGGGAAGUGGCAGAGAGGGUUUGCUUGGCAUGGAAAAGGCCCUGGGUUUGACCCCUGGCAUCUCCCGCUAAGAAGCCUUGCGGAAGAUCGUUCUCUGAAGAGGCAGCCCUGGACCACAUGGGCGAAUGGGCUGGCUCUGGGCCAAGCCACUUCCUACGUUCACAUGACUGGUGGGGUUUCCAACCCCUGCGGCUUCCAGCAGGACUGAGGAGGGCAAAUGGGUGGAGCUCCUGCGCAAAGAAAUGAUUGUCAUACCAAGCAGAAAUGUGCAAAAAGAAGCCACCACGAGGCCCGUCGUGUUGCAGGGUGGGUUUUAGAAACGGGGAUUUGGGUCCUACCGGGGGUGGGGGAGGAAGUGCUUGCAGGAUACUGCAGAGGGAGGGUCUGUCUCUAGUUCCUUUUGGUUGAAGGAAGGGAGGAUUUAAAGUGGAUUUCCUGCACUGAGCAGGGGAUUGGACUUGAUGGCCUUAUAGGCCCCUUCCAACUCUACUAUAUGAGUCUAAGACCUCUAGGACAGCUAUUCCCAGACUCCAUGGUAGGAUGGCAACGACCUCAAAAGACCAAGGGCGUCAUCCUAUGCAUGUUUAGACAGGAGAAAAGUCCUACAACUCCCAGCAUCCUUAUUGAUCCCUGACCUCUCUCAUGGCUAUGGGUGAUGAUACGGCUGCAUCAAGAUCUAUUGAUGCAGCUCUAUUGCUGUCACGCCCCACCAUUUUUCUACCUGAACUCAGAGAAGGAGGACCCAAUCAAUGGUCCCAACACUUGUAGGGUUCAAGGGGACACCCCCUCCCCAAAGAUGCCCUGCGUGGGGAGGUUGCCAAUUCAGGGGAUAUGACACACCCCGACUGCCCCCUCCAGCUCCAAACCUUCCAAGAUCACAUUUGGGAUACCAAGGACAGAGAGUCCGUGGAAACCUGGCUGGAAAGAGGAGGAAGAGGAGGAGGCCAGGUCCCACACAUGCUUUGGAUCAGGGCCCUGCUGACACUCCAGGAAAAAGGGGAGAGCUGAUAAUUUGGAGCCUCCUGGUCCAUUCCUCAGCAAGGAACUGGACUGCAUAGUAGCGGCGGUGAAUACAGGCCUCGAAAGCAAGUCCAAGAGGCCAUAUUACCAACUGGGCCAUCCCAUAAUUGUCAGGAAGUUCCUGCUCCUGGGGAGCAGAUCCAACAAUAUGUUUCUCUGUGUAAAAGCGCCUUAGGUUUCAAAUGUCUGGAGUAAUACUAUAUCAGAACAGCUGGAUUCCCAACCGAGCGCCUCCCAGAUGUGUUGGCAGUACCAAGAUGGCCCGGUCAGCAUGGUCCAACACAUCUGGAGAUGCUGGUGGAGGCAUGCUGGCACAUGUAGUCCAAUGCAUCUUCAGGGCAUCAGGUUGGGAGAAGGUUCCUCUGGAGGCAGGUGGAAUCGGACCUUUUCUGAGGUGGGGCAGUUCACUUUGGCACGUCAGAUCGUGGCGUGGGAGUGUGAAAAGAAACCUCUUUAGAGUAUACGACCCUCUCCGUGGCUUGGACCUCACAAACCUCUUGUCUAAGAAAAAUCCCGGCCAUCACAACUAAGGUUGUACUGAAGUAAAUGAAAUGGGGAAAGGUACAGACUGAGAAGGGGGGUGGGGAAGGAGAGACUUAUAGGGAGGUCUCUGCCAUAAGGCAGGUGCCUCAGGCAGCUGGCUUUGGGCGCCUUGAAAAAGAAGCAAAUCGUUAGUUAUUAUUAUUUUAUCUUUACUACUAAGGGGUGUGCUAAAAUCACUUGACCAGGCUGGGUUCCUAUACACCUUGUGGAGGGGCUGGGGCAAAUGUCUUUAAUUACAGUUCUACAUCUGAUAUUGUCAGGCCACUUUCUUAAAAAGAUGGGAGGGGGGAAGAAAAGAGAAGGGUUUUAAGGCCAGCGGCCACCUAAGCUAAUCUUCAGAGAGGUUCCUCCUCAAAGGUAGCUUGGCAUCAGGCACCCAUGGGUACCAAUAAGACAAUGGAACCAGUGACCUAGGGAGGUUGUGGGCUCUCCCACAUUAGAGGCCUUCAAGAGGCAGCUGUCAGGGAUGCUUUAGGGUGGAUUUCUGCACUGAGCAGGGGGUUGGACUUGAUGGCCUUGUAGGCCCCUUCCAACUCUACGAUUCUAUGAUUCUAUGACUUAAGAGGGAAUGGCAGGUACUCCUUCUAAGCCAAGAAACUUUCUCCCAGUUUCUCAUUUUCCCCCCAUCUUAAAUUUGGUUCGCCCCAAACUUUUGAGAAUUUCCCCAACAUUUUUAAAGUUUGCAUCAAAGUGAACUUUGGCAGUGGGGGGGGGAAUUGCAUGGAAAUUUGUAGGCAUCAUUGUGUGCGUUUCUGCUAAUACCUGUAUUUUUGUAUACAGCAUUGCCUAAUAUACCCGGGGGGGGGGGGGAGUGCAAGAAAUUUUCCUAAUAGAAUGCUUUUUGAAAUAUUCUCCCUAACAUACCAUUUCUUAGUAUCCAGUUUGGAUGGGCGAACGCCAUUGCAAAAUUUUGGAAAUGUGUGAAUUUUGAAAGAGAACCAAGUUUCAGUUCACGCUUUGGUUCGAAUUGUGUUUUCCAUUAAAAUGCCAACUGAACUAA